UCAAAGGAUGUUUAUAAUGAGAAAAUUAUAUGUCGAAGGGGAAGGCAGUAAUUCUUGACAAUAUUAUAAGAAAAUUCUUAAAAUAGCACCAAUUUUUCUUGUUAACAGCAUUGGAAAUGAGAGAGCAGCAGUAUUUUGCUACAAUAUUUUAGCACCUGCUGUCCUGCAGGUACUUUAUGAAGCAUGUUCCACAAAUCGUCUCAUUGAUUCCUCAUGGGAAUCAUGCUGGCAUGAUUGUCUCCAUUUUGCUGAUGAAGAAACAGAGGCUUUGAGGAAUUUAGUGACUUGCCCAGAUUGCUCAGCAUUCAAGAAGCCUUGUCUGACUGCCACGCUCUUGCUCUUUCCAUUACCCCAUACGGGCUCCACUGGCCACUCUGCUAAUGCUGACUUGGCCUCCUAAAUGUCUAUCAGGCACUCCAAGCAUGGUCCUACCUCAGGGCCUUUGCACUUGAUCUCUCAGCCAUUUAUACCACUCACUUCCUCAUAUCAUCCACACCUUAAUAUCAUUUCCUCAGAGAGGCUGUGGCAGACCACACUAUCCAAAAUAGAACUUCUCCUUUCCCAUG
rnacentral:lncRNA from 1 species